GUCCAGAGUGUCGCUAUUUUGUUAGUUUAGGAUAAACGGCGUUGAUGAUAGAAAUACAUCGUUACAAUAGUUAAAGGACACGUUUCUGCAAGUUUUACCGAUUAACAUUAGUUUAUAUUAAGAUGAAUAUAUUAAUUGGAGUUUGUCUAUUCACAUUUUGUGUACAUCAUGUUAGUGCCUUACGAUGCUACGGAUGUGAUCCACCCUGCUUUUCACACGAAGGAAUAUAUAUCCUAUAUGUCACUUGCAACGGCUCUUGCUGGAAGUCGGCAAACCAUAUGGUGCCAGUUUAUGGUUGUGUGCCAAAUAUAAGUGUAAACAGGUGCGAUGACAUGAAAAUGUUCAUUGGAUGUUUUUGCAAUACGACCCUUUGCAAUGGAGCAACCGUCAAAUACAUGUCCAGAUUCGGCGUUAUUACAGCAAUAACCGGUGUCAUUUUUAAUGCCUUCAAAGAUGUCUUUUAAAAGAGUUAAAAUCCUGUAAACUUUAUUUCCUGUGUGACGUUAAGGAUUUUAAAUAUGACUGUGCUGUUCAUAAUUAUGAAUAAAAUAACAACGUCAAGUAUAGUAUAUAAAUAAAAUAGAAUAAAAUAAUCUCUUAUUCAAUGUUAGAUAAUAAUGAAGGACAGUAAAUUGUAUAAUAAUUAAACUCUUGUUGUUUUGUUUGUUUUAAUCAACCAUAAGAAAUUUUGAAAUAACAUGAUUUUUUAAAAUGAUAUAGCAAAUUAAUAAUAAAAAGUAAGCUUCCAUUUUAUUACUUCAGUCAUUUAUAGUAAUAAUUAUUUUAUGUAUCUUCCUGAGCUCUUUAAUAGUUCUGUACUACUAAAAUAGACUUUUCCAUAUUGUUAAAACAAAGAAUUAUGUCUGCUUAAAUGUAUGAA